rnacentral:rRNA from 1 species
GGAAGUAAAAGGUCGUAACAAGGUUUCCGUAGGUGAACCUGCGGAAGGAUCAUUAUCAAUUUACAGCGGACUUCGGUCCUGUCUGCACCCUUGUCUUUUGCGUACUGUAUGUUUCCUUGGUAGGCUUGCCUGCCAAUAGGACAUUCAUAAACUCUUUUGUAAUUGCAAUCAGCGUCAGAAUAACUAUAAUAGUUACAACUUUCAACAACGGAUCUCUUGGUUCUGGCAUCGAUGAAGAACGCAGCGAAAUGCGAAAAGUAGUGUGAAUUGCAGAAUUCAGUGAAUCAUCGAAUCUUUGAACGCACAUUGCGCCCCUUGGUAUUCCAUGGGGCAUGCCUGUUCGAGCGUCAUUUGUACCCUCAAGCUCUGCUUGGUGUUGGGUGUUUGUCCCGCUUUCGCGUGUGGACUCGCCUUAAAGCAAUUGGCAGCCGGCAUAUUGGCCUGGAGCGCAGCACAUUUUGCACUUCUUGCCUUUAGAUGUCGAGCAUCCAGAUAGCAAACAUUUUGCUCUUGACCUCGGAUCAGGUAGGGAUACCCGCUGAACUUAAGCAUAUCAAUAAGCGGAGGA